rnacentral:rRNA from 1 species
UACGUAGGGUGCGAGCGUUGUCCGGAUUUAUUGGGCGUAAAGAGCUCGUAGGCGGUUCGGUAAGUCGGAUGUGAAAUCUCCACGCUCAACGUGGAGGGGCCAUUCGAUACUGCCGUGACUCGAGUCCGGUAGGGGAGUGUGGAAUUCCCGGUGUAGCGGUGAAAUGCGCAGAGAUCGGGAGGAACACCCGUAGCGAAGGCGGCACUCUGGGCCGGUACUGACGCUGAGGAGCGAAAGCGUGGGGAGCGAACAGG